rnacentral:rRNA from 1 species
AGUGAACGCUGGCGGUAGGCCUAACACAUGCAAGUCGAACGGCAGCACAGGAGAGCUUGCUCUCUGGGUGGCGAGUGGCGGACGGGUGAGGAAUACAUCGGAAUCUACUCUGUCGUGGGGGAUAACGUAGGGAAACUUACGCUAAUACCGCAUACGACCUACGGGUGAAAGCAGGGGACCUUCGGGCCUUGCGCGAUUGAAUGAGCCGAUGUCGGAUUAGCUAGUUGGCGGGGGAAAGGGCCACCAAGGCGACGAUCCGUAGCUGGUCUGAGAGGAUGAUCAGCCACACUGGAACUGAGACACGGUCCAGACUCCUACGGGAGGCAGCAGUGGGGAAUAGUGGACAAUGGGCGCAAGCCUGAUCCAGCCAUACCGCGUGGGGGAAGAAGGCCUUCGGGUUGUAAAGCCCUUUUGUUGGGAAGGAAAUCCAGCUGGCUAAUACCCGGUUGGGAUGACGGUACCCAAAGAAUAAGCACCGGCUAACUUCGUGCCAGCCGCCGCCGUAA